AUUUCUUCGGAAUGAAGUUUUUGUGACUGAGUGGCGGACGGGUGAGUAACGCGUGGGUAACCUGCCUCAUACAGGGGGAUAACAGUUGGAAACGACUGCUAAUACCGCAUAAGCGCACAGCGCCGCAUGGCACAGUGUGAAAAACUCCGGUGGUACAAGAUGGACCCGCGUCUGAUUAGCUGGUUGGUGAGGUAACGGCCCACCAAGGCGACGAUCAGUAGCCGGCCUGAGAGGGUGAACGGCCACAUUGGGACUGAGACACGGCCCAAACUCC
rnacentral:rRNA from 1 species